rnacentral:lncRNA from 1 species
UCAUCCUAGUGAUGACAUGUGGCUUCAAAAAGAAGUUGUAAUGUUUCACAAAUAAUAUAUAGGGGAUUAGAAAAAAUAUCAAGCAUAAAAACUUUGGGACAUAAGCUUAUUUGCUUCAGAUUACAAGGAUCCUAGAGUCAAGAGUCAGAACAGAUCCUCAGAUUUCAGGUACCUAUUCAAAAUGGAAAUAUUUAUAAAUUAUUUGAUAUGUUUUUACAAAUUUUAGAAGUAUUUUUUGUUUUAAAAAGUCAUAAUUUUAUAGUAUAUAAUUAAUUCACAUCUAUCAUAACAAGAUAAAAUUCACAUAAUAUUUUACAAUUAUUUUUCUUGAACUAAAUUUUAUAUUCACUUUGUUAUUUUACAUUUAAAAAUUUGUGUCAUUAUACCAUAAAUACACAUAUUUAUAAUCUACAUAUGAUUUUGUAGGGGGCUCCAUUGUAAUGUUUCAAACAAAUAACCACAAGCCCGGCUUUGUCUAGAGUUGAUCCCUAUGCAUGGUGGAAUUGAAGCAUAUUAGUGGGUGCCACUAACCCAAGUGCCUAAGCCAUUUCCUCCUUUUUGGCUCAAAAGCCUAGUAAUCAUAUACUAUAUAUGUAUAUCAAAAUCGAUCAAUUAUUAGUAUUAUACAUAGUUAUAUAUUAUACAGUUUAUUUUAAAAUUAAAUUUGUAAGAAUACAGUUUUCUAAAAGCAAUGCCAACAUCAAUUUUUGAAACUGGAUUUAGUAUUACAUCCAGUUCGUAACCGGCAUCGAAGAUCAACUAAAUCAAUC